rnacentral:rRNA from 1 species
UUGAACGCUGGCGGAAUGCUUUACACAUGCAAGUCGAACGGCAGCACGGGGGCAACCCUGGUGGCGAGUGGCGAACGGGUGAGUAAUGCAUCGGAACGUGCCCAGUCGUGGGGGAUAACGCAGCGAAAGCUGUGCUAAUACCGCAUACGAUCUAUGGAUGAAAGCGGGGGAUCGCAAGACCUCGCGCGAUUGGAGCGGCCGAUGUCAGAUUAGCUAGUUGGUGGGGUAAAGGCCCACCAAGGCGACGAUCUGUAGCUGGUCUGAGAGGACGACCAGCCACACUGGGACUGAGACACGGCCCAGACUCCUACGGGAGGCAGCAGUGGGGAAUUUUGGACAAUGGGCGCAAGCCUGAUCCAGCAAUGCCGCGUGCAGGAAGAAGGCCUUCGGGUUGUAAACUGCUUUUGUACGGAACGAAAAGGUCUGGGUUAAUACCCUGGGCUCAUGACGGUACCGUAAGAAUAAGCACCGGCUAACUACGU